UUGUACUUUACUUCUUCACCUUCUCUCCCUCUCUGUUCUGUAAAAGAAACUGGCAUCCAGACCCCGAUAAGAUGGUUUUUGGGGAACAUCUUCUCGGUCUGCCGGCUUUCUGAAUGAAAUCGCUCUUCCUUGCCUCACCACUUCCUGUCCCGAUUUAUUGGCCUGCCGUGCGGCGAGCAGAGCGAGCUUGGACUCGCUCUGUCUCCGAGGUUCGAUUCAGCACUGGUGUACAGAGAAGCUGAGCUUUCGACAUCACAGGAAGAAAUAGCCUUUUCUAUGGUGAUGACCAGAAGUUUUCCUCAGCACACCUCUCAGCUUCUCCUUCCAGCUUCAACACUCUGGGAACCUGCCAUACUUGAUCUCUUUGGAGAGGUAUUCUGGGACAAAUCGUCUAGAUACAGAAAAUGUUAAGAGGUAACUGGCACAGAAUUAACAGCUUUCAUACUUGGCUACAAGACAGUCUUCUCUAGUUUCCCAUAUAUUUCUUGACCUGAUGUAUUUAAGGACGUUUGAAAUCACAUUAUUUUGAAGUGUCUUAAUUUUGCUUAUAUUGGGUUGUGGAAGUUUCAGAUUAGGUUUAUCCUCUCAAGGCAUCUGAUCUUAUUGGCUCUGUAUCCUUCAGAAAUAACUGAAUAAUUGAUUUACUAGGGACUUCUCUUGGUUUUUUAGGACCUCCAAGUCUUUAACUGUUUAUUUACUAUAUUUUGUGACUUCUAUAAUCUCAGUGGGAUUUUUGAAGGAAGAAGAGAUUAAAACAUGCCCUUAGUCAGCCAUUUUGAAACCCCAAGUCUCUCUUUUUUUUUAGGUAAUAUUAUCAC